rnacentral:rRNA from 1 species
AUACGUAGGGGGCGAGCGUUAUCCGGAAUUAUUGGGCGUAAAGAGUACGUAGGUGGUUUCCUAAGCGAGGGGUUUAAGGCACUGGCUUAACCAAUGUUCGCCCCCCGAACUGGGGAACUUGAGUGCUGGAGAGGAAAGCGGAAUUCCUAGUGUAGCGGUGAAAUGCGUAGAUAUUAGGAGGAACACCAGUGGCGAAGGCGGCUUUCUGGACAGUAACUGACACUGAGGUACGAAAGUGUGGGGAGCAAACAGGAUUAGAUACCCUGGUAGUCCACACCGUAAACGAUGAGCACUAGGUGUCGGGCUCGCAAGAGUUCGGUGCCGCAGUUAACGCAUUAAGUGCUCCGCCUGGGGAGUACGUACGCAAGUAUGAAACUCAAAGGAAUUGACGGGG